GCCUACGUUUGAAGACGUUGAAAAUAUAUAUUGAAUUGAGCGAUUUUGAUGUUCUGUCUGAAAUGGCAGGCAAAAUUAAAGUUGCCGAUUAACGUUACUGUAGCAAUAAAACAUACUCUGUUUGCGAGAGUGCUGCUGAUAGCAGCAGAGUGGAGGAAGAUGGAGAAAGCGACGGUCCAGCUGUGUUUAUGUGCGCCAAAUGCAAGCUACCCGUCGGCGACAGUUUGUCCUGGGCAGGCAGUGACGACCAGCAGAACGAAAUCAUGCUCAAACGGAUAUCUGACAAUGUUGUCAUAGGUAAAGAGCCCUUUGUUUCUGGUACUCGAAAGGAGCUUGGAUGAGAAACAUAUCAAAGCCAAAUAAUCUUGAUUACAAGCUCUUUUCUGCUUUAAUGUUGAAAAUAUUCUAAGUUAUGUAGUCGGCAUUUCCAGGCCAGCGGGUGCUAGAAUUAGACAGAGAAGACAGACCAGUGACCCUGGAGUACCAGGAUAUUGUGGAACAGCAGUUGACAGAGUUCCUGUCUAAUGUGCCUAGCAACACUUUCCACCAGGAGGCGGGAAAGACUAGUACAGACCCUGAAGGCACGCACCCCCAACCCUCAAAGCUGGGGUAGCAUAACAACAGCGGCUGAUGGAAUCCGUGCACCUCGGACCAACCAGAGAGCUGUAUCUAAGGGCCAUGCUGCCAUGGAAACAAAGCACACAUGCUGUCGCUAGAGCCUGUUGCCAUCGCAUCCGUCGUUUCCUUAUUUGCCGGCCAGCGAGUCAGCCAACCAGCUUGCGAGGGGGGGGUCUGUCAGUCUGAUGACGUCGCGCUUCAGUCGUUCGCAGGGGCGUGGUCUCCACCUCACCAGCAGAGAGUUCUUCAUUCUUGUGCCUUUGAACUCCUCCUAGGUUCUGCCUGUAAACCCAGAAGACUUAAAAAUAGGGACAAGAGGUAAAACGUGUGUAUAGCACAUGGCAUUAUAGCAUAAUGUUUACUGUUUGUGUCCAGUAGAGGGAAACAUCACUCUUCAUCCCUCAAAAGGCCAAUCAUAUCUAGUUGUACUAGUUGGUGAGGAGUCAUCUCAGUAAAGGCCCGUUUACACCAAUAACAAUAACUAUAAAUGAUAUCUGUAUAAGGGUUUACAACAACAGACAAUAAUUUUGUUCAUUUUAAGGGUUUUGCAGACUAAUUGUCUGGUCCAGUGGUUUUCAGUCCUAGUCCUGGACCCAGUGCUCUGCACAUUUUGUAUCUCCUUUAGGGUGUUUUCACAACUAGUUUG